AUCAAACAACUCAAAGCAUGACUAUUGGGUGUUCAUGCCACUGCGUGAUGUGUGCCAUCCAUAAACCUUGUUAUAACGUGGUCACAUUACCCGUCUGACA